GCCUAACACAUGCAAGUCGAACGGAACUGUUUUGAAAGAUUUCUUCGGAAUGAAUUUGAUUUAGUUUAGUGGCGGACGGGUGAGUAACGCGUGAGUAACCUGCCUUCAAGAGGGGGAUAACAUUCUGAAAAGAAUGCUAAUACCGCAUGACAUAUCGGAACCACAUGGUUCUGAUAUCAAAGAUUUUAUCGCUUGAAGAUGGACUCGCGUCCGAUUAGUUAGUUGGUGAGGUAACGGCUCACCAAGACCGCGAUCGGUAGCCGGACUGAGAGGUUGAACGGCCACAUUGGGACUGAGACACGGCCCAGACUCCUACGGGAGGCAGCAGUGGGGGAUAUUGCGCAAUGGGGGCAACCCUGACGCAGCAACGCCGCGUGAAGGAUGAAGGUUUUCGGAUUGUAAACUUCUUUUAUUAAGGACGAAAAAUGACGGUACUUAAUGAAUAAGCUCCGGCUAACUACGUGCCAGCCGCCGCGGUAAAAC
rnacentral:rRNA from 1 species